rnacentral:rRNA from 1 species
AACGAACGCUGGCGGCAUGCUUAACACAUGCAAGUCGAGCGAGGAAACUGGAACAGAACGCUUCGGGGUGAGGAAAGAGUGGAAUAGCGCCGGACGGGUGAGUAACACGUCAGGAAAGGGGCGUAGACAUUGGGAUAUCUCCGGGAAACCGGGAUUAAUAGCCUAUAGAAUCAUACUGGUACAUUUCAUUACGUGCAAAACUCCGGGGGUCUAAGAUGGACGCGCCUUCCAUUAGCUAGUUGGUAGAGUAAAAGCCUACCAAGGCGACGAUGGAUAGCUGGUCUGAGAGGGUGAUCAGCCACAUUGGAACUGAGACACGGCCCAGACUCCUACGGGAGGCAGCAGUGGGGAAUAUUGCACAAUGGACGGAACUCUGAUGCAGCGACGCCGCGUGAACGAAGAAGGCUUUCGAGUCGUAAAGUUCUUUUAUCUGGGAAGAUAAUGACGGUACCGUAAGAAAAAGCCCCGGCUAACUCCGUG